rnacentral:lncRNA from 1 species
UAAGAUAGAUGCAACUUAACAAGCAAAUGCCUCUAACAAAUGUCUUUAAAAUAAUAACAAAAUUAACAAUAAAAUAAGUUUUAUACAAUAUCCAAAUAAUAACAACAAAAUAGUAACAACAUAAUAGUAAAAUGGUACCAAAAUAAGGAGAAAACAAUAAGAAAAUAAUAUUAGUAGCAACAUAAUAGUAAAAUGGUAGCAAAAUAGUGAGAAAAAAAUAAGAAAAUACUAUUAAAAACAAAAAAAAUUGUCCUUUAGUGAAUUCAGGCCGGGCCCGGGCAAAAAAUGUCUUACCCGAGGCCCGGCCCGUUUUUUAGAUAGACAUUUUUUUCGUCCAAACCCAUUUUUCAGGCCUAUAUUUUUGGCCAAACCCUCUCACAUUUCGAACGAGCCUCCGGGCAGGGCCGGGUGGCCCGACCCAUGAACAAGUCUAAUCUAGAGGUGCCAAUAUGGGUCCAACUCUCCUAAAAUAGAAAAUUUUCUAUUAGGCUCUUUAUAAUUUAUAAAAUUUUAAAUUAAUAAUAAAAUUACACUUUACCCCUAAAAACUUAUAAAAAUUUGAUUUAAUUAUUCAAAAUUAUAAAAAUAAAAACUAUUAAAAUAGCAAAUUUACAUUUUUACUAUUAAAAUAGCAAACGUUUUUUGACUUAGCCCCUUGCUAAAAGUUAUUUAUUUUAAAUGUACAAAAACUGAAAGGACUUAAGAGUGUAUUUUAGCCAUUAGAAAAAAGUGAGGGGACAGGACAUUUUUUUUAUUUAAUCGUAAAACCAAAAAUAUGUUGUUGUUUUUCUCUUUAAUUGUUGAUUUUGGUGAAAGGAUAUGGAUAUUCCAAAUGCUUUGGAAUUUUACCAAGUGUCAUAAAUCAAUGCGAUUCCUGUUCCCCACUUCGGCUCGGCUUUGUGGCUGUGCUUUUGAAGCUCUUUUCUGGAAGUAUUUUGGACGGCUUCUUUUCGCUAAAAAAGUAUUUUUAAAAUAAUAGAUUAGAUUUGUUGUAUAUUUUAAGGAAAACAAUAACAAAAAGUAAAUUGAUAUAUUCAAAUUUUUUUAUAAUAAAUUUUUUAUUUAUCUAAAUUUUAGUUGUUAUAUAUUUUUAACAACACGUUAUAGAAUAAUAAUUGCAGUAAACUUACUAUAAAAUUUAUAUUGUAAAUUUUCAUUAAAUAAAAAAAAUAAGAAUCAUAUUCAAGAAAGAAAGAAAGUAGAAUCAAAUUAACAAAAUUAAAAAACAUAAUUCUGCAUGAUUAAUUAUAAAAUUAAUAAAUCUAACAAGUUUAAUUAAUCAAUAAUUUAUCAAGUAAUUAACCAUUGAAGUAAAAAGAGGAAGAAGAUAAUGAUUGAUUGAGGAAAAAUGAGUGAAGGUUGGGGAAUAGUUUCAAUUUUAAAGAUAGUCAAGGAAUCAGGAAGGAUGAGCGUGUAAAUAGUCUGUAUGGAUUGUUUUCAUGGCUCUUUUAUGGUAGGGAACAAGCUUGGAUGUGUGUAUUGAGGUUAUCGACGUGAAUGUUUGAUUUAAUAUAUUUGGCAGCGAAAGUGAUGCUACGUCCUAAGAUAAGACAUUCUAAAAUGAUUAGUAAUAAAUUACUUUGGGCCUAUAUGUGGCCCCCACAUAGUCUUGGCGAAUUUAUUGAACUAACCCCAAGUUUGUAGUGUAGUUGGUUUUAUUGAGAAACACAUGUUUAGCUCUCUAUAAAUACACUUUGAGAUUCAUGAAGCACAGUGUAAGGUCGCGAGUAGGGCUACUGUAUGGUUUAAUAAUUUUAUGUUUGUUUAAGUAUACUUAUAUCUGUAAAAGGUUAAUUUAAGCUUGUUUUAAUUUUUUUAAUAUUUUUAUUUUAUUAAAAUUUUAAACAUAGAUAAAUUAACAUAUUUUCUAACGCUUACAUUAUAAUAAAAAUAUUAUUCUAGAAUUAAAUUACAAGAAGAUAAAAUAUUUCAAUAUUAAAAAUGGGUUGGGUUGGCAUUAAAUUUUUUUUUAUCAAACUCAAACUCAAAAUUUAAAUUUAUAUUAUUGAGAAAAGUGAUUGUAUGAUAAAUUGGAAUGGUCAAACAUUGUGAUUUCAUUAAACAACGUAAUUCCACUUUUGCUAGAAGCCUUUAUUUAAAUUUAAAUGGAGACAACCAUCGAUGUAAAAAUAAAAUGCUUAAAUUUAUUAAUUUAGUUUUUUGGCCACCAAACGGAAUGGUUAAACUUAUUUGAUAAAUCAUUUAAUUUAAUCCUUAUUGCUCGAUUAGUUAAAUAAAAGCCUGGGUGUUAAUUAUUUUUUAUACAAAGAUUCUCAGUGUUAAUUAAAUAAAUAAAAAAACAUCCAUCCAAACUUAUGUUAAAAUUUCAAAAUGAAUUCAAAAUUCAAAACCUUAAUAAGUUGUGUGUCUCGUUUUCACCGUCACACAAAUCCUAGCUGGUGUGAGUUCCAACUUCCAAGUGCCAACCUUAGGCUUGACGCGGCUUCGGCUUGUAGCGGCAACUAAAAGCCACGUGUCAGUACUUGAGUCGUUUAUAGAAUUAAAUAAUCCGAAAGAAUACUGAGAAAAUAUUUAAACAAAAGUAAAAAAGUAACCUCUCUUCUCUUCCGAAAGGAAUAUAUAAUAAAACCCAAAAUAUUUAUCAAAUAGAAAAAGAAACCGACGGAUAUUCUCACCACUUCCCUCCGAAUAUUCUUCAUUUUCAGUUAUAUUUACCCUUCUUCUCCCUCCCCCACCCCCUUCCUCCCGUUAUCAGUCUCACCCCCGUUCCGUUCUCUCAUUUUUCUCACUUACCGAGCACAGAGUUUUUGCCAUGAAAUUCGGGAAGAGCCUCAGUAGCCAGAUCGAGGAGACGUUGCCUGAAUGGCGGGACAAGUUCCUUUCAUAUAAGGAGCUUAAGAAGAAAGUUAAGCUCAUUCAACAUAACUCCGGUGAGAGACCGAA